GACGGGGGGGGCAAGCGUUCUUCGGAAUGACUGGGCGUAAAGGGCACGUAGGCGGUGAAUCGGGUUGAAAGUGAAAGUCGCCAAAAAGUGGCGGAAUGCUCUCGAAACCAAUUCACUUGAGUGAGACAGAGGAGAGUGGAAUUUCGUGUGUAGGGGUGAAAUCCGUAGAUCUACGAAGGAACGCCAAAAGCGAAGGCAGCUCUCUGGGACGGUACUGACGCUAAGGCGCGAAAGCGUGGGGAGCGAACAGG
rnacentral:rRNA from 1 species